CGUUGUAAUAGAAAUCACUGCUAAUACUGCUUUAUUGCGGAGCAAGAAAAACGGCCGUAGCAAAUUUGGCUUUUAUUUCGAUGUUAAUAGUUCUGAAUUUAUUGCGUCAAUGUUUGGAGCUCUUACGACAAUUUUAUCGCCACAAUUAAGCUUUCGGUUUCUCGACACCCAAAAUCACUGGUAAUAGGCCUAUUAACGCGACGAUCUUUCAAACCACUGCAACUACGUCUUCCACCUUUUAUUAAACUCGGCUGAAAAAUCCCCUAUCUUCCUUCUGAAACCGAACCCCAAUUUGCCAUAUCCAACCCUACCUCUUGAAAACUUAUACCUGUAUGCGGUAGUGAACACUCUCUUUCAACCCAAGAAGGAUGUCCCAGAUUUCCAUUGCUACGAGGGACGCAGAUGGGUAAAUGGUCAUAGAUCAUUUCAUGGAAGUAAAUAUAGUGAAGUUUCUCAACAACCUGUCUACCUGCUACUGAGCCAGGUUCUGGCACCAUGACUGAGGGAACACGCCACACUUAACUGGCUGAAGCUGUUGCUACUUUGAAGGGUGACUCUGUCCGUGUGAAGGAGGAGCAGGAAAGGCAAAAACAGUUGUUGGAGGCCAUUUUGCAGCAGCUCAACAGUAUGGCAUCCAGCUAUGAUUAAUUGAUGGUCAACGUUGCAAAUCAUAAUUCUGGAGAAGGCUCAUCAGAUUAAAUUAGUUUGUAGCCACUUCCUGAGGUCCGUUUAUAACAAACCCGGCCAACAACUUCGACUGGAAAUCAUUGAAUCAGAAGGUUCAAGAGCAGCGUACAGUGAACCUGGUUGGAGUUUCAGCUGAUCUAUAUGCCAUAGCAAGCGGCCCUGACCCUUAGGUUGCAUUGUAUGCUACUUGCAUUGUGAAUGGAAAGAGGUUCCACACAAAGCUUGUUGAACAACGUUGACACACUCAAAAUUCUGGUAUGUUUGUAACUAGUGAACAUCAAUCCAAUAAUGUAGAUUUCUACAGCAUUCUAGAAGAUGUUAUUAAGUUACAUUAUAUGGGAUGACGUUUUGUAUAACUGAAGAGACUACAUAAAUAACUCCAAUUUCUUUGUUGGAUUACAAUUCUUGCA